rnacentral:rRNA from 1 species
UUGGAACUGAGACACGGUCCAAACUCCUACGGGAGGCAGCAGUGGGGAAUAUUGCACAAUGGGCGAAAGCCUGAUGCAGCAACGCCGCGUGAGUGAUGAAGGCCUUCGGGUCGUAAAACUCUGUCCUCAAGGAAGAUAAUGACGGUACUUGAGGAGGAAGCCCCGGCUAACUACGUGCCAGCAGCCGCGGUAAUACGUAGGGGGCUAGCGUUAUCCGGAUUUACUGGGCGUAAAGGGUGCGUAGGCGGUCUUUCAAGUCAGGAGUGAAAGGCUACGGCUCAACCGUAGUAAGCUCUUGAAACUGGGAGACUUGAGUGCAGGAGAGGAGAGUGGAAUUCCUAGUGUAGCGGUGAAAUGCGUAGAUAUUAGGAGGAACACCAGUUGCGAAGGCGGCUCUCUGGACUGUAACUGACGCUGAGGCACGAAAGCGUGGGGAGCAAACAGGAUUAGAUACCCUGGUAGUCCACGCUGUAAACGAUGAGUACUAGGUGUCGGGGGUUACCCCC